UACGUAGGUGGCGAGCGUUGUCCGGAUUCACUGGGUGUAAAGGGCGCGUAGGCGGGACAGCAAGUCAGGUGCGAAAUCUAUGGGCUUAACCCAUAAACUGCACCUGAAGCUGUUGUUCUUGAGUGUCGGAGAGGUAGACGGAAUUCCUAGUGUAGCGGUGAAAUGCGGAGAUAUUAGGAGGAACACCAGUGGCGAAGGCGGUCUACUGGACGAUAACUGACGCUGAGGCGCGAAAGCGUGGGGAGCAAAC
rnacentral:rRNA from 1 species